UUUGUAGUGGUGUCAAAUAUAUAAUAAAGAGAAAAUAUAAAAAAUAAAAAAGUAAGGGGCAAUUGCCUAUAUACCUCUGAAAAGUUUCCAAUUUUCUUAUUUACCCCUCUCAGAAGGCUAAUAUUGAAAAUACCUUUUUUAUGUUCCAAAUCUUUCUAAUAUACCCCUGGAGUUAAGUUCCGUUAGUGAGCUGCCGUUAUCUCUGGAAAAUUAUCAUUUUGCCCAUUCCAAUAUACUCUCGUACAAUAACUAACUUUUUUUAUAUACCCUUCAUAUACCAAAUACUUUUCUUAUUUAUCUUUCAAAUAUCAAUUAAUUAAUUAAGCACGUCGGGAGCGAGCAGAUGAACGGAUGAGAUCGAUCGCAGUUAAACCAACCUUGGUGGCUGGAGGCAUAUAUAAUUAGUUAAAUUUUGUCUUUUAAUUUUUAAAUUCGUUGAAAAAUACGGCUAAAAAACGGAUUCGGCAAUUAUUCGGAUACGUGAUUUAUACGGGUAUUAUAUGUUCACCAAUUAAAAAUUCGGGAUAAAAAAUU
rnacentral:lncRNA from 1 species